rnacentral:sRNA from 1 species
AGAGCAGCUACUCAUGUUGGACAAUUCAGGUCUCUUCUGGAAACUGGCCUUGUAUUUGGAAUUUUCUCCAGAGUCUGAUGUGAUCACAUGCAGGCUAUUAAGAAAUGUGAACUAACAAAUUAAGUUAAAGUAGCAGGAUGGGCGCUGUGGCUCACACCUAUAAUCCCAGCACUUUGGGAAGCUGAGGCAUGUGGAUCACUUGAGGUCAGGAGUUUGAGAGCAGCCUGGCCAACAAGCUAAGAAAUCUUCAGAACAAACUUUUCAUAAAAGAAACUUCACUGCAAGAGUUGAAGCCUGAGCUAGAAAGUUACAAAGAAAAUAAUGUACAACAGUCGUUCCAGAUAAUGUCCCUGAAAGAUAAUAUCAAGGACCUACAGGAACUUACUGCUUCUCUAACCAGAAUUAAAUAUUUGAGAAACACCAAUAUUCAGAGGCUUCAAAGAGGCAACUGGGAUUUAACUAAAUGAAUUAUUGAGCUAGAAACUGUCUAAGAGUACGAGUACAUCUGGUUGAAAAAGAAAAGGCAGAGAGAAAAGCAGACUUUUUGGAGUUGUUGUUCUCAGGCACUAACAGAUUCAUCCCUUAUAUGCAUAUGAAUGGACAAUAAGAUUUCUUGGAUAUUUUCAUGGCAAAGGGUAAGAGCGAAGCUAUCCUGGACAAGAACUUUGACAGGACAAUACUAUUCACUCUGAAGGACCAAAAAAUGAGCAGAAAAUUUGGGAUAAAUGUCAACAAGAUUUGAACCCUAAAGAAAAGCAAGCAUCGAGUUAGACAGACGUCCAUAUUCAUUCAACUGGGAAAAUAAAACUGUGCAGUCCCAACAUCAGAAUUUCCUUGGUCAGUUGGUUAUUGCGGGACAGCAUUCUUCUGCAUGACAGUAUUGUCUCCUUACCAGCCACAGAGGAGGCUGUGAGAGAGAGGAUUUGGGAAAUUGGUGCAAAUGAGAAAUCUUGGAAAUCUAGAAUUAAGCCUUUCAGCAGGAAAUCCAGAUGCUCACUAAGUGACUAGAGCAGCUGCAUCAUCUUUAAGAAGAAGGUGCUCAAGAAUCAUCCCAAGCUGAAGAAAAAAGUAUUGGGAACAAAAAAGACCCUUGAAAUGUCUAGAAAGAAAAAUUGAGAUCAAGGACUUUUUCAAGAGAGAUUAGACUUGGACAGGAAGAAAAUGGAGUCUCACUCUGUCACCCAGGUUGGAGUGCAAUGGUGUGAUCUCGGCUCACUGCAACCUCUGCCUCCCGGGUUCAAGCGAUUUUCCUGCCUCAGCCUCCCAAGUAGCUGGGAUUACAGAAUUUGCAGAUUGCUACUACGCAAAGAUUGGAGGAGAAAAUUCAGAAACUUCAGAAACAGCUCAGUGAUUUGAAAUUGUCAAAUAAAAAUAUGAAAACUCAGCUGACAAGAGUAAAUGUCCUUAAAGACAAAACAAUUGAAGAGCUCAGGCAAUCUUUAGCAAAUGUUGAAACGAUGAAAGAGAAGGCAAAUGUUGAAACGAUGAAAGAGAAGGCAGUUGUGAAAACAGAAAACUUGAAAACUACAUUAGACUCUGCAGAGCAAAAGGCAAGAUCAGACAAAGAGAAGACCCAGCAGAUGUUAGAUGCUGUCACUUCUGAGCCCCCAAUAGCAAAGAGCACACCUGAAGAAGUAUCAGGACAAGAACAAGAGGUUUUUUCAAAAUAGUAAAAUUAAAAUUAAUUUAGUUGAAGUGAUAAA